rnacentral:rRNA from 1 species
CAGUCGCCGCGGGAAUACAGAGGGUGCAAGCGUUAAUCGGAAUUACUGGGCGUAAAGCGCGCGUAGGUGGUUUGUUAAGUUGGAUGUGAAAUCCCCGGGCUCAACCUGGGAACUGCAUUCAAAACUGACUGACUAGAGUAUGGUAGAGGGUGGUGGAAUUUCCUGUGUAGCGGUGAAAUGCGUAGAUAUAGGAAGGAACACCAGUGGCGAAGGCGACCACCUGGACUAAUACUGACACUGAGGUGCGAAAGCGUGGGGAGCAAACAGGAUUAGAUACCCGGGUAGUCCCUGUCUCUUAUAC